CGGUAUUUUGACUGUGCGAAGGUAGCAUAAUCAUUUGUCUUUUAAUUGAAGACUUGUAUGAAUGGUUGAACGAGAAAAUAACUGUCUCUUUAAAAAAUCUUGAAUUUUACUUUUAAGUGAAAAGGCUUAAAUAAUUUUAAGGGACGAUAAGACCCUAUAAAUCUUCAUAUUAUUUUUCUUUAACUUUUAAAUUAUAUAUAUAUUAAAAAAAAUAAAAGAAAAAAAUAUUGUAUUGGGGAGAUAAAAAUAUAAUUUUUAACUGUUUUAAAUAUAAAACAAUAAUUUUUGAUUUAUUAAAAAUUGAUCCUUUUUAAAGAUUUUAAGAUUAAGUUACUUUAGGGAUAACAGCGUAAUUUUUUUUGAGAGUUCUUAUCGAAAAAAAAGUUUGCGACCUCGAUGUUGAAUUAAAAUAUCCUUAUAAGUGCAGAAGCUAUAAAGGAAAGUCUGUUCGACUUUUAAAAUUUUACAU
rnacentral:rRNA from 1 species